rnacentral:rRNA from 1 species
AUCAUGGCUCAGGAUGAACGCUAGCGGCAGGCCUAACACAUGCAAGUCGAGGGGUAAGCGUAGCUUGCUACGCCUAGACCGGCGCACGGGUGCGUAACGCGUGUACAAUCUACCUUUUACUGGGGAAUAGCCCGAAGAAAUUUGGAUUAAUGCCCCAUAGUAUAGAGCAGUGGCAUCACAGCACUAUUAAAGCUUCGGUGGUAAGAGAUGAGUACGCGUUCUAUUAGUUAGUUGGUGAGGUAACGGCUCACCAAGGCUAUGAUAGAUAGGGGUUCUGAGAGGGAUGUCCCCCACACUGGUACUGAGAUACGGACCAGACUCCUACGGGAGGCAGCAGUGAGGAAUAUUGGUCAAUGGUCGGAAGACUGAACCAGCCAUGCCGCGUGCAGGAUGACGGCCUUAUGGGUUGUAAACUGCUUUUGUAUGGGAAGAAUAAGGGGUACGUGUACUCUGAUGACGGUACUAUAUGAAUAAGCAUCGGCUAACUCCGUGCCAGCAGCCGCGGUAAUACGGAGGAUGCGAGCGUUAUCCGGAAUCAUUGGGUUUAAAGGGUCUGUAGGCGGGCUAUUAAGUCAGAGGUGAAAGCACUGAGCUCAACUGAGUAACUGCCUUUGAAACUGAUAGUCUUGAAUACUUACGAAGUAGCUGGAAUGUGUAGUGUAGCGGUGAAAUGCUUAGAUAUUACACAGAACACCGAUAGCGAAGGCAUGUUACUAGUAAGGUUAUUGACGCUGAGGGACGAAAGCGUGGGGAGCGAACAGGAUUAGAUACCCUGGUAGUCCACGCUGUAAACGAUGGAUACUAGCUGUUUGCGAGAAAAUUGUGAGUGGCUAAGCGAAAGUGAUAAGUAUCCCACCUGGGGAGUACGCACGCAAGUGUGAAAACUCAAAGGAAUUGACGGGGGCCCGCACAAGCGGUGGAGCAUGUGGUUUAAUUCGAUGAUACGCGAGGAACCUUACCAAGGUUUAAAAUGGGAAGCGACGUAGGUAGAGAUACCUAUUUCUUCGGACGCUUUUCAAGGUGCUGCAUGGUUGUCGUCAGCUCGUGCCGUGAGGUGUCAGGUUAAGUCCUAUAACGAGCGCAACCCCUGCCUUUAUUUGCCAUCGAGUAGAGUCGGGCACUAUAGAGGGACUGCCGGUGCAAACCGUGAGGAAGGUGGGGAUGACGUCAAAUCAUCACGGCCCUUACAUCUUGGGCUACACACGUGCUACGAAUGGUCGUUACAGAGAGCAGCCAACGGGUGACCGUGAGCGAAAUCUUAAAAGAACGAUCACAGUUCGGAAUCGGAGUCUGCAAACUCGAACUCCGUAAAGCUGGAAAUCGCUAGGAAUCGCGCAUUCAGCCAUGAGCGCGGUAAAUACGUUUCCCGGGCCUUGUACUCACCGCCCG